GACGAACGCUGGCGGCGUGCUUAACACAUGCAAGUCGAGCGGUAAGGCCCUUUCGGGGGUACACGAGCGGCGAACGGGUGAGUAACACGUGGGUGACCUGCCCUCAGCUCUGGGAUAAGCCCGGGAAACUGGGUCUAAUACUGGAUAUGACUCCAUGACGCAUGUUGUGGGGUGGAAAGCCUUGUGCGGCUGAGGAUGGGCCCGCGGCCUAUCAGCUUGUUGGUGGGGUGAUGGCCUACCAAGGCGACGACGGGUAGCCGGCCUGAGAGGGCGACCGGCCACACUGGGACUGAGACACGGCCCAGACUCCUACGGGAGGCAGCAGUGGGGAAUCUUGCGCAAUGGGCGAAAGCCUGACGCAGCGACGCCGCGUGAGGGAUGACGGCCUUCGGGUUGUAAACCUCUUUCAGCUCCGACGAAGCGGAAGUGACGGUAGGAGCAGAAGAAGCACCGGCCAACUACGUGCCAGCAGCCGCGGUAAUACGUAGGGUGCAAGCGUUGUCCGGAAUUAUUGGGCGUAAAGAGCUCGUAGGCGGUCUGUCGCGUCGGCUGUGAAAACUCGGGGCUCAACUCCGAGCUUGCAGUCGAUACGGGCAGGCUAGAGUUCGGCAGGGGAGACUGGAAUUCCUGGU
rnacentral:rRNA from 1 species